UACGUAGGGGGCGAGCGUUGUCCGGAUUUAUUGGGCGUAAAGAGCUCGUAGGCGGUUCGGUAAGUCGAAUGUGAAAUCUCCACGCUCAACGUGGAGGGGUCAUUCGAAACUGCCGUGACUUGAGUACGGUAGGGGAGUGUGGAAUUCCUGGUGUAGCGGUGAAAUGCGCAGAUAUCAGGAGGAACACCGGUGGCGAAGGCGGGUCUCUGGGCCGAUACUGACGCUGAGGAGCGAAAGCGUGGGGAGCGAACAGG
rnacentral:rRNA from 1 species